GUAGCUGUAGCUCAGUGGUAGAGCAGUUGCCUAGCAUGCAUGAGGUCCUGGUUUCAAUCCCCAGCACCACA
rnacentral:tRNA from 1 species